GAAACAGGUGCUAAUACCGCAUAACCAUCAAAACCGCCUGGUUUUGAUGUUCCAGAUGGUUCUGCUAUCGCUUUAAGAUGGACCCGCGGCGUAUUAGCUAGUUGGUGAGGUAACGGCUUACCAAGGCAAUGAUACGUAGCCGAACUGAGAGGUUGAUCGGCCACAUUGGGACUGAGACACGGCCCAAACUCCUACGGGAGGCAGCAGUAGGGAAUCUUCCACAAUGGACGAAAGUCUGAUGGAGCAACGCCGCGUGAGUGAAGAAGGUUUUUUUAUCGUAAAACUCUGUUGUCAGAGAAGAACGUGUGUGAGAGUAACUGUUCACGCAGUGACGGUAUCUGACCAGAAAGUCACGGCUAACUACGUGCCAGCAGCCGCGGUAAUACGUAGGUGGCAAGCGUUGUCCGGAUUUAUUGGGCGUAAAGGGAACGCAGGCGGUCUUUUAAGUCUGAUGUGAAAGCCUUCGGCUUAACCGAAGUCGGGCAUUGGAAACUGGGAGACUUGAGUGCAGAAGAGGAGAGUGGAACUCCAUGUGUAGCGGU
rnacentral:rRNA from 1 species